CUGGGCACGGUGGCUCACGCCUAUAAUCCCAGCACUUUGGGAGGCCGAGGCGGGUGGAUCACAAGGUCAGGAGAUCGAGACCAUCCUGGCUAACAUGGUGAAACCCCAUCUCUACUAAAAAUACAAAAAAUUAGCCGGGCGUGGUGGCGGGCGCCUGUGGUCCCAGCUAUUUGGGAGGCUGAGGCAGGAGAAGGGCAUGAACCCGGGAGGUGGAGCUUGCAGUGAGCGGAGAUGGCGCCACUGCACUUCAGCCUGGGCGACAGAGCAGAGCGACUGGGCCAGGACUAGGCCCAGUCUAUUUCUUAUUCUGCUUACUUUUUCAUUUCUCUUGGUAGAUGUUGAUGUUGUUUUAUAUUCUUCUAAAAAUCUAAAAAAUGGAUCAAG
rnacentral:lncRNA from 1 species